CUUAGGAGGGCUGUCAAUCAAGGACUUACCACCCGAUCUCGUCUGAUCUCGGAAGCUAAGCAUGGUCGGGCCUGGAUAGUACUUGGAUGUGAGACCGCCUGGGAAUACCAGGUGCUGUAAGU
rnacentral:rRNA from 10 species